rnacentral:rRNA from 1 species
UAGGGAAUCUUCCACAAUGGACGCAAGUCUGAUGGAGCAACGCCGCGUGAGUGAAGAAGGUCUUCGGAUCGUAAAACUCUGUUGUUAGAGAAGAACACGAGUGAGAGUAACUGUUCAUUCGAUGACGGUAUCUAACCAGCAAGUCUCGGCUAACUACGUGC